rnacentral:rRNA from 1 species
AUGAAGUCGUCGCCGGCCGCGCCGGCCACGUCCGGGUGCCGCUCCCGAGCCAGUCGCCGGUACGCGGCCUUGAUCUCGCCGCCCGUGGCGCCGGCCCGCAGCCCGAGCACCUCGUACAGCGUGCACCUCCCGGCCGGCGCCGCCGACGCGACGGCCACCGCGCACCGGACCGACCGGCGGGAGCUGGAGCAGGCGGCGGCCUGGCGGAACCCGGCCAGCGCGGGCCUCGCCGCGGAGGAUUGCAUCACCGGGGGCGGUGAAAUCAUGACACGAACCCACAAAUCUGAGAAGAGAGAACGGAGGAUGGGUUGGGGGAGCAGAGGAAAAGUAGGCAGCUCCCAUUUUGGAGAUACUGAUGAUUUUGAUCCUUUUGGAGAUAACUAUGACAAUGACAGAACAGAGAAUCAUGCGCUAGAAAAUGCUACUAAACUGAAUUACCAUUCGUAUAUGGACAAAUGGAGAAAAUUUGACACUUACUGA